GUACGGGGGAGCAAGCGUUGUUCGGAUUUACUGGGCGUAAAGGGCGCGUAGGCGGUCGUGACAAGUCACUUUGUGAAAUCUCCGGGCUUAACUCGGAACGGUCAAGUGAUACUGUCGGGCUAGAGUGCGGAAGAGGCGAGUGGAAUUCCUGGUGUAGCGGUGAAAUGCGCAGAUAUCAGGAGGAACACCGAUUGCGAAGGCAGCUCGCUGGGACGUAACUGACGCUGAGACGCGAAAGCGUGGGGAGCAAACAGG
rnacentral:rRNA from 1 species